GAUGAACGCUAGCUACAGGCUUAACACAUGCAAGUCGAGGGGUAGCACGGAGGAAGCUUGCUUCCUUGGGUGACGACCGGCGCACGGGUGAGUAACGCGUAUCCGACCUACCCAUAACUCGGGCACAGCCGCUCGAAAGAGUGAUUGAUUCCCGAUAUGUCCUUGGAGUAGAUUCAAUGAUGAAAGAUUUAUCGGUUAUGGAUGGGGAUGCGUAAGAUUAGGUAGUAGGCGGGGUAACGGCCCACCUAGCCGACGAUCUUUAGGGGUUCUGAGAGGAAGGUCCCCCACACUGGUACUGAGACACGGACCAG
rnacentral:rRNA from 1 species